rnacentral:misc_RNA from 1 species
CGAUGCAGUCCUCCUCGGAGGCGCCUUUGUCCACCGUCGCCUCGAACGGAUAGAGAUUGACCACCAGAAGAUCGAUCGGCGCGAUGCCGUGAUCCUUCAUGCUGCGCGCGUGAUCGGCAUUGUCGCGGAUCGCGAGCAAUCCGCCGUGCACGUUCGGAUGCAGCGUCUUGACGCGCCCAUCCAUCAUCUCGGGAAAGCCCGUCAGGUCCGACACGUCCCGCACCUUGAGACCGGCGUCCGCAAUGGCCCUGGCGGUACCGCCGGUGGAGACCAUCUCUAUGCCGUGACCGGCGA